GAUGAACGCUGGCGGCGUGCCUAAUACAUGCAAGUCGAGCGAACAGACGAGGAGCUUGCUCCUCUGACGUUAGCGGCGGACGGGUGAGUAACACGUGGAUAACCUACCUAUAAGACUGGGAUAACUUCGGAAAACCGGAGCUAAUACCGGAUAAUAUAUUGAACCGCAUGGUUCAAUAGUGAAAGACGGUUUUGCUGUCACUUAUAGAUGGAUCCGCGCCGCAUUAGCUAGUUGGUAAGGUAACGGCUUACCAAGGCAACGAUGCGUAGCCGACCUGAGAGGGGGAGCGGCCCCCCCAGAACUGAGACACGGUCCAGACUCCUACGGGAGGCAGCAGUAGGGAAUCUUCCGCAAUGGGCGAAAGCCUGACGGAGCAACGCCGCGUGAGUGAUGAAGGUCUUCGGAUCGGAAAACUCUGUUAUUAGGGAAGAACAAAUGUGUAAGUAACUAUGCACUUCUUGACGGUACCUAAUCAGAAAGCCACGGCUAACUACGUG
rnacentral:rRNA from 1 species